AUUUAUCUAAUAUAAAUAGUAUAUUUGACUUCCAAUCAAAAAGUUUGACUUACAAGAUAAAUA
rnacentral:tRNA from 1 species